GACGAACGCUGGCGGCGUGCCUAAUACAUGCAAGUAGAACGCUGAAGGAGGAGCUUGCUCUUCUUGGAUGAGUUGCGAACGGGUGAGUAACGCGUAGGUAACCUGCCUGGUAGCGGGGGAUAACUAUUGGAAACGAUAGCUAAUACCGCAUAAUAGUAGAUGUUGCAUGACAUUUGCUUAAAAGGUGCAAUUGCAUCACUACCAGAUGGACCUGCGUUGUAUUAGCUAGUUGGUGAGGUAACGGCUCACCAAGGCAACGAUACAUAGCCGACCUGAGAGGGUGAUCGGCCACACUGGGACUGAGACACGGCCCAGACUCCUACGGGAGGCAGCAGUAGGGAAUCUUCGGCAAUGGACGGAAGUCUGACCGAGCAACGCCGCGUGAGUGAAGAAGGUUUUCGGAUCGUAAAGCUCUGUUGUAAGAGAAGAACGAGUGUGAGAGUGGAAAGUUCACACUGUGACGGUAUCUUACCAGAAAGGACGG
rnacentral:rRNA from 1 species